rnacentral:miRNA from 1 species
GUGGAGUGUGGGACAGCUUGC